rnacentral:tRNA from 1 species
UGUGGCUCAGUGGCAGAGUGCUUGUCUAGCACACAUGAGGCCCUGGGUUCAAUCCUCAGCA